UUGUCAGUAAUGCAUUUUGAGUGAUUGAAUUAUAAGAUAAUAAUUCUAGUAACUAAAGUGCAGGAUUGGAAA